AUGCCAAUUCAACAACCUGCAAAUAUACACGGUAUCAACGCUAUCCUAACAUCCAAAUCCAACCUCACCUACAAUUUCACUCUCACUAUAAAAAGAGCCUUCACACGAGCUCCACACACAAACAACCUCAAGCUUUCAGACCCGUCCGCAACCAAUGCCGACGAAACCGACGAAGCAGCCUCCGUCAAACCGCGCCAAGAGUUCCUCCAGAUAGCACACCGAUGUUCAUCAUCGAUGAAACAAUCCGCCGCUUCAAGCACGUCGAAGCUACAAACUCCUCCGUCCUUGCAAUGUCACUGA